UGAAUAGAUUUGGUUUGG
rnacentral:miRNA from 1 species